GACGAACGCUGGCGGCGUGCUUAACACAUGCAAGUCGAACGGAAAGACCCUGCUUUUGUGGGGUGCUCGAGUGGCGAACGGGUGAGUAACACGUGAGUAACCUGCCCUUGACUUUGGGAUAACUUCAGGAAACUGGGGCUAAUACCGGAUAGGAGCUCCUGCUGCAUGGUGGGGGUUGGAAAGUUUCGGCGGUUGGGGAUGGACUCGCGGCUUAUCAGCUUGUUGGUGGGGUAGUGGCUUACCAAGGCUUUGGCGGGUAGCCGGCCUGAGAGGGUGACCGGCCACAUUGGGACUGAGAUACGGCCCAGACUCCUACGGGAGGCAGCAGUGGGGAAUAUUGCACAAUGGGCGGAAGCCUGAUGCAGCAACGCCGCGUGCGGGAUGACGGCCUUCGGGUUGUAAACCGCUUUCGCCUGUGACGAAGCGUGAGUGACGGUAAUGGGUAAAGAAGCACCGGCUAACUACGUG
rnacentral:rRNA from 1 species